UCUACUGCAUUAAAUUGCGGAAGCAUACUGAAUUGCGCGCCCCACGUCCUGCAGCUGAGGUUGAUGUCGAAGAGGAGAUGGAGAAAGUCAAAUACUGGGCUGAUAGGAGACGUGAGACCUUGGGCAUCGAGGCGAAACUUGAAAUUUAUCAGCGGGAAGUGGAUAUCUUGAAAGAUCUUGACCACGUAUGCACUUUUCCCAUUGAUUCCUGGCAAUUGCUUUGACAAUCCCACAGAUCAAAACUGAUCAGGCAAAUAGCCGAAUAUCGUAAAACUGGAGCAAGUGAUCAUGGGUGAGAACACUGUUUAUAUCUUCCAGGAACUGAUUACCGCAGGAGACCUAUUUUCGUUUCUCGAGUACAAAAAAUUUAACCUCUCUGAUUCGGAGGCGGC
rnacentral:sRNA from 1 species